rnacentral:lncRNA from 1 species
NGUCAUACACAGCUUCAAUCUUCACACAAACUUGUUGGUGUAGUUACAUCAUGGCCUUCAAAUUGUCAUUUGCAUCCUUGUGAACCAAUUCACCAUUUGGAAAUGGAAUGAAAUACAAAGGCUUGUAAGGAUUCACACCAUACACCACUUACGUAGGCUUAUAAGGACCUUCAGCUUUUGGCAUCAACUUUUGUUUGGAAAACGUUCUUUCCUCAUAUGCACCAACACCAAAUCACCAUCUUGAAAGACACGAGGUUUCCUAUACAUGUUGGAAUUCUGUUUGUACACGUCAAUCACGGCUUCAAUCUUCACACUAGCUUGUUGGUGUAGUUUCGUCAUGGCCUUCAACUUGUCAUUAGCAUCCUUGUGAACCAAUUCAUCGUUUGGAAAUGGAAUAAUAUACAAAGGCUCGUAAGGAUUCACACCAUACACCACUUACAAAGGCUUGUAAGGACCUUCAGCUCUUGGCAUCAACUCUUGUUCAAAGUGAACAAAGGUUAGUUUGAUUAAAAUUUCAUCUAUCUCUUUUUUCCAUGCAUAAUUGGCUUAUAUGAAGCCUUUAUAACAAAGUUGGUGGUUACUAGCCACCCAACCAACUACUCAGUAAAACUAAUAAUGGAAAUUAAUGAAACUCAUGAAACCACACAAAAAAACGUCUAACACAAUAAAGAGUGAAAAAAGUGUCCACGCUCCAUUAAGGAGCAAAAAGAAGCAUUAAAGUGUAACCCAAAAGAAGCACUUAUUAAGCCUUUAAAAUGUUGUCGUAGCCUUCAUGCAACCCUAAUUCAAUAUGUAGGUUAGCAUGCACAACCCAACCAAUGAGUACAAACCACCUUCUAGCCUACUAGUAAUCACUAAUCCAUCACAUUUUUCGGCUUUUCAUGAGCCAUGCAUGGAUCCUCCCCUCCCUCUUUGAAAGGAAAUGACCUUAAUUCAUCAAGGCCAUCCUCAACAAGAUACGGUGAAAGGUCUCCCACAUUAAAGGUAGCAUGCACUCAAUGGUCUCGUCUCAGAUCAACCUUAUAAGUAUUAUCAUUGACAUGUGUCACCACUUUGUAAGGACCUUCAGCUCUUGGCAUGAAUUUUUGCUCUUCCUUUUGUUAAGAAAACGUUCUUUCCUCAUAUGCACCUAAACCAAGUCACCAUCUUGUAAGACACGUGAUUUCCUAUUCAUGUUGGAAUUCUGUUUGUACACGUCAUUCACAGCUUCAAUUUUCACAAAAACGUGUUGCUGUAGUUACAUCAUGGCCUUCAAAUUGUCAUUUGCAUCCUUGUGAACCAAUUCAUCAUUUGGAAAUGGAAUCAAAUACAAAGGCUUAUAAGGAUUCACACCAUACACCACUUACGAAGGCUUAUAAGGACCUUCAGCUUUUGGCAUCACCUUUUGUUCUUCCUUUUGUUUGGAAAACGUUCUUUCCUCAUAUGCACCUAAACCAAGUCACCAUCUUGAAAGACACGAGGUUUCCUAUACAUGUUGGAAUACUUUUUGUACACAUCAUUAACGGCUUCAAUCUUCACACGAGCUUGUUGGUGUAGUUUCGUCAGGGCCUUCAACUUGUCAUUAGCAUCCUUGUGAACCAAUUCAUCUUUUGGAAAUUGAAUAAUAUACAAAGGCUUGUAAUGAUUCACACCAUAGACCACUUACAAAGGCUUGUAAGGACCUUUAGCUCUUGGCAUCAACUUUUGUUCUUCCUUUUGUUACGAAAACGUUCUUUCCUCAUAUGCACCUAAACCAAGUCACCAUCUUGAAAGGCAUGUGGUUUCCUAUGCAUGGUUGAAUUCUAUUUGUACACGUCAUUCAUGGCUUCAAUCUUCACAAGAACUUGUUGGUGUAGUUUCAUCAUGGCCUUCAACUUGUCAUUAGUAUCCCUGUGAACCAAUUCAUCGUUUGGAAAUGGAAUCAAAUAUAAAGGCUUGUAAGGAUUCACACCAUACAUCACUUAUAAAGGACAGUGUCCUGUAGCAUAAGUAGGAGAACUAUUACAGGCAAACUCAGCAUGUGCAAGUUUGAUGUCCAACUGUUUUUGAGUUUUGCCAACCAACCCCCUCAAUAGCAUACCCAAAGUUCUAUUAGUCACCUUCGUUUGCCAAUCAGUUUGUGGAUGAUGGGACGUACUAAAAAGUUACUUAGUACCAACUUUCCUCCACAAAGUGUUCCAAAUGUAACUCAAAAACAUGGAAUCCCUAUCAGAAACAAUAGUUUUAAGAAUAAUAUGCAAGCGAACCACUUCUUUAAAGUACAAAUCAGACACAUUAGAUGAAUCAUUGGUGUUAUGACUUGGCAUAAAGUGAGCCAUUUUUGAAAACCUAUCCACCACCAUUAUAAUGGAUUCCUUCCCCCUUUGAGUUCUAGGAAAAGCCAUACUGAAUUCCAUUGACACCUCUUGCUAAGGACGAAUAGGAACCGACAAAGGAGUGUAAACACCAUGCUUGAAAGUUUUUUUCGGCAUCCGACAUGUAAGAAACUUGCCCACUAUGUUGGUUACAUCCCUAACAUCUUUAGGCCAGAAGAAAUGUUCUUAAAGCACCUUCAAAGUUUUGGUAAUGGAAAAAUGACCCGCCAAACCACCACCAUGAGCUUCACGAAUCAGCAACUCCUGUAUUUCAUGUUUAGGGACACAAAGGUCAUUGCCUUUUGAUGCCUUUAUGGGCUUGAUUAAGUGAGUGGGGUUGUGUUUAGGUAAAUUAAGCUAAAAUAACUUCCACAAAUGCUUAGUAAGAAAUCAAGACCUACUAAGUUGUAUACUCGUGAAAACUAUCCAAGAAAUAAUAUUUGUUUGAAUGCGUAUCAAGUCAAGAACACAUCUCGACUAUCACAAGUAGUGAACUAUAACUAUAGCUCAAAGUGAACAAAGGUUAUUUUGAUUAGAAUUUCAUCUAUCUCUUUUUUCCAUGCAUAAUUGGCUUAUAUGAAGCCUUUAUAACAAAGUUGGUGGUUACUAGCCACCCAACCAACUACUCAGUAAAACUAAUAAUGGAAAUUAAAGAAACUCAUGAAACCACACAAAAAAACGUAUGACACACUAAUGAAUGAAAAAAGUGUCCACACUCCAUUAAGGAGCAAAAAGAAGCAUUAAAGUGUAACCCAAAUCCACUAAAGAGUAUCAAUAAUGGCUAGAAGGCUUGAUGAAGCAAAAAGUAACAGUUUUGAGCACUUAUUAAGCCUUUAAAAUGUUGCCCUAGCCUUCAUGUGACACUAAUUCAAUACGUAGGUUACCAUGCACAACCCAACCAUUGAGUAUAAACCACCUUCUAGCCUACUAGUAAUCACUAAUCCAUCACCUUUUUCGGCUUUUCAUGAGCCAUGCAUGGAUCCUCCCCUCCCUCUUUUAAAGGAAAUAACCUUAAUUCAUCAAGGACAUCCUCAACAAGAUACGGUGAAAGGUCUCCCACAUUUAAGGUAGCAUGCACUCCACGGUCUCAUCCCAGAUUAACCUUAUAUGUAUUACCAUUGACAUGUGUCACCACUUUGUAAGGACCUUCAGCUCUUGGCAUCAACUUUUGCUCUUCCUUUUGUUAAGAAAACGUUCUUUCCUCAUAUGCACCUAAACCAAGUCAACAUCUUGUAAGACACGUGGUUUCCUAUUCAUGUUGGAAUUCUGUUUGUGCACGUCAUUCACAGCUUCAAUCUUCACACAAACUUGUUGGUGUAGUUACAUCAUGGCCUUUAAAUUAUCAUUUGCAUCCAUGUGAACCAAUUCAUCAUUUGGAAAUGGAAUCAAAUACAAAGGCUUGUAAAGAUUCACACCAUACACCACUUACGAAGGUUUAUAAGGACCUUCAGCUUUUGGCAUUAACUUUUGUUCUUCCAUUUGUUUGGAAAAUGUUCUUUCCUCAUAUGCACCUAAACCAAGUCACCAUCUUGAAAGAUACGAGGUUUCCUAUACAUGUUGGAAUUCUGUUGUUACACGUCAUUCACGGCUUCAAUCUUCACACGAGCUUGUUAGUGUAGUUUCGUCAUGGCCUUCAACUUGUCAUUAGCAUCCUUGAGAACCAAUUCAUCGUUUGGAAAUGGAAUAAUAUAUAAAGGCUUGUAAGGAUUCACACCAUACACCACUUACAAAGGCUUGUAAGGACCUUCAGCUCGUCGCAUCAACAUUUGUUCUUCCUUUUGUUAGGAAAACGUUCUUUCCACAUAUGCACCUAAACAAAGUCACCAUCUUGAAAGACAUGUGGUUUCCUAUGCAUGUUGCAAUUCUGUUUGUACACGUCAUUCAUGGCUUCAAUCUUCACAAGAACUUGUUGGUGUAGUUUCAUCAUGGCCUUCAACUUGUCAUUAGCAUCCUUGUGAAUUUAUUCAUCGUUUGGAAAUGGAAUCAAAUAUAAAGGCUUGUAAGGAUUCACACCAUACAUCACUUAUAAAGGACAAUGACCUGUAGCAUAAGUAGGAGAACGAUUACAGGCAAACUCAGCAUGUGCAAGUUUGAUGUCCAACUGUUUUUGAGUUUUGCUAACCAACCCCCUCAACAACAUACCCAAAGUUCUAUUAGUCACCUUCGUUUGCCCAUCAGUUUGUGGAUGAUGGGACGUACUAAAAAGUAACUUAGUACCAACUUUCCUCCACAAAGUGUUCCAAAUGUAACUCAAAAACAAGGAAUCCCUAUCAGAAACAAUAGUUUUACAAAUAAUAUGCAAGCGGACCACUUCUUUACAGUACAAAUCAGACACAUUAGAUGAAUCAUUGGUUUUAUUACAUGGCAUAAAGUGAGCCAUUUUUGAAAACCUAUCCACCACCACUAUAACGGAUUCCUUCCCCCUUUGAGUUCUAGGAAAAACCAUACUUAAUUCCAUUGACACCUCUUGCCAAGGACGAAUAGGAAUCGACAAAGGAGUGUAAACACCAUGCUUGAAAGUUUUUUUCAUCAUCCGACAUGUAACACACUUUCCCACUAUGUUGGUUACAUCCCUAACAUCUUUAGGCUAGAAGAAAUGUUCUUAAAGCACCUUCAAAGUUUUGGUAAUGGAAAAAUGACCCGCCAAACCACCACCAUGAGCUUCACGAAUCAGCAACUCCCGUAUUGCAUGUUUAGGGACACAAAGGUGAUUGCCUUUUGAUGCCUUUAUGGGCUAGAUUAAGUGAGUGGGGCUGUGUUUAGGUAAAUGAAGCUAGAAUAAAAACCACAAAUGACAGGUGUAUGGGAAGAAAUGGAUAAACUAGUAACAAAUCAAGACCUACUAAGUUGUAUACCCGUGAAAACUAUCCAAGACAUAAUAUUUGUUUGAAUGCAUAUCAAGUCAAGAACACGUCUCGACUAUGACAAGUAGUGAACUAUAACUAUAAUUCAAAGUGAACAAAGGUUCUUUUGAUUAAAAUUUCAUCUAUCUCUUUUUUCCAUGCAUAAUUGGCUUAUAUGAAGCCUUUAUUACAAAGUUGUUGGUUACAAACCACCCAACCAACUACUCAGUAAAACUAAUAAUGGAAAUUAAAGAAACUCAUGAAACCACACAAAAAAAAGUCUGACACACUGAUGAAUGAAAAAAGUGUCCAUGCUCCAUUAAGGAGCAAAAAGAAGCAUUAAAGUGUAAUCCAAAUCCACCAAAGAGUAUCAACAAUGGCUAGAAGGCUUGACGAAGCAAAAAGUAACAGUUUUGAGCACUUAUUAAGCCUUUAAAAUGUUGCCCUAGCCUUCAUGCGACCCUAAUUUAAUACGUAGGUUACCAUGCACAACCCAACCAUUGAGUACAAACCACCUUCUAGCCUACUAGUAAUCACUAAUCCAUCACAUUUUUCGGCUUUUCAUGAGCCAUGCAUGGAUCCUCCCCUCCCUCUUUGAAAGGAAAUGACCUUAAUUCAUCAAGGCCAUCCUCAACAAGAUACGGUGAAAGGUCUCCCACAUUAAUGGUAGCAUGCACUCCAUGGUCUCGUCCCAGAUCAACCUUGUAAGUAUUAUCAUUGACAUGUGUCACCACUUUGUAAGGACCUUCAGCUCCUGGCUUCAACUUUUGUUCUUCCUUUUGUUAGGAAAACGUUCUUUCCUCAUACGCACCUAAACCAAGUCACCAUCUUCUAAGACACGUGGUUUCCUAAUCAUGUUGGAAUUUUGUUUGUAAAUGUCAUUCACAGCUUCAAACUUCACACAAACUUGUUGGUGUAGUUACAUCACGACCUUCAAUUUUUCAUUUGCAUCCCUUGUGAACCAGUUAAUCAUUUGGAAAUGGAAUCAAAUACAAAGGCUUGUAAGGAUUCACACCAUACACCACUUAUGAAGGCUUAUAAGGUCCUUCAGCUUUUGGCAUCAACUUUUGUUUGGAAAACGUUCUUUCCUCAUAUGCACCAACACCAAAUCACCAUCUUGAAAGACACGAGGUUUCCUAUACAUGUUGGAAUUCUGUUUGUACACGUCAAUCACGGCUUCAAUCUUCACACUAGCUUGUUGGUGUAGUUUCGUCAUGGCCUUCAACUUGUCAUUAGCAUCCUUGUGAACCAAUUCAUCGUUUGGAAAUGGAAUAAUAUACAAAGGCUCGUAAGGAUUCACACCAUACACCACUUACAAAGGCUUGUAAGGACCUUCAGCUCUUGGCAUCAACUCUUGUUCAAAGUGAACAAAGGUUAGUUUGAUUAAAAUUUCAUCUAUCUCUUUUUUCCAUGCAUAAUUGGCUUAUAUGAAGCCUUUAUAACAAAGUUGGUGGUUACUAGCCACCCAACCAACUACU